AUGUUUCUUUGCCUCACUCUGUGCCAGAAUGCGGCCCCUCUAGCCCUUGGAAAACCUGGAGCUACCACUAAAGCCAACAAUGGCCACUGAAGGCACAAAAGGCUCUAUGUGGUGGACGAGGGGGACUCAAGAACGGGGAAACUGGAGCCGCCAGGCCUCAGAACAGCCCCAGGGAAUCCAGGGAGCAGGAACUACCAGGUUGCAGACUCCGAGGCUGAAACCCCUUUCUGACCGGUAGCUCUAGAGUAAACAAACGCCUGGACUUUCUUCAUCCCCUGAAGACAAAGAACUUGUUCAUGAGCCUCUCCAGGCAGCUCGUGGUCUGAGCUGUCAGGAAUGACGGAUGAGCAGCUGCUUUUGCCGGCGCCUCCGCGGCAGCUAAGGUAGCGCUCACAGGACUGUCUACACCAUGGACUCAGUGUUCAGGUGUUCAGGGAGUUAUUAUUGGAGCAGCUCACUCUAUCUUAAGGCAGACAGCCCCGGGCAAAGCGCAGCGGAUAAACACAAGUGACAUCUUAUGAAACCUAAGUUCAUGUGAAAUCCUAGAUAAUUCUGUUGUCAGAAGUGAAAAUAUAUAUUGCAUUUUUAUCUAAAAAUAAAAAUGAAUGUGA
rnacentral:lncRNA from 1 species